AACGAAGUGAAAUUACUUAGACAGCUAGGAUGUUGGCUUGGAAGCAGCCAUUCAUUUAAAGAGUGCGUAACAGCUCACUAGUCGAGCGAUUUUGCAUGGAUAAUAAUCGGGCAUAAACAUAUUACCGAAGCUAUGGAUUUACGUUGAAAGACACGUAAGUGGUAGGGGAGCAUUGUAACCUGGGUAGAAGGAGUACUGUGAGGUAUUCUGGUCUGGUUACAAAAGAAAAUGUAGGCAUAAGUAAC
rnacentral:rRNA from 1 species